rnacentral:misc_RNA from 1 species
CUCGUGCGUGUGUGGUGGUGAAAUGGCUCGUGUCUCUCGCUCUGGUGCCAAGGUGCUUGUUUUUGACUGACUAGCUAAACAUGGACUUGUUGAUGGCUGCGACAAUCGCGAGGCAACUCCAUUUCAGGCUACUCUCCACCUGAGGCCUGCCACACUCAGCCCGUAUAGUCUGCAUGCCUGUCGUCUUGGACGCAGUGUGAUUUACUCGUCAAGGCAGCGGGGAAGUGGGGAUGACAGUGUUGCAAGCCCGCUGCGUCUCACUGCCUUGCGUCACAACCAAAGUCCACCACUUCACCAUCCAACCAGCCCACCAGCCAACCAACCCACCAGCCAACCAGCCAUCACAUUCAAAGCCGGCUGAGCGCUAAUAUGUUCAAAAGGCUUCCUACAUCUGUCUGGCCAGCGCUGCAGAACGUGGUGUUGUGAUUUACCUCCUGAAAAGUGACGAGGGAUCGAACGACACGGAGGCAGUGAAAGAGGGAGAGGGAGAGGGAGAGGGAGAGGGAGAAGGGAAGGUCUAGGGCUGACUGUGUGUGUGGACUGUUCCCUGCGUCCUGAGAAGGUUUUUUUGAUGGGGAAAGAAAAAUCACCAGUUGUCUGAAUUUCCCUGCACCAGUUUAACCAGCAUCCUACCUGCCCGCCCGCGUGCCCAAGACACCUUCCCUGGCUCACCAUUAGAGUUGGAGAAGAAAAUGGC